CAGCAGUAGCCGCGGUAAGACGGAGGGUGCUAGCGCUGUUCGGAAUCACUGGGCGUAAAGGGCGCGUAGGUUGUUGUUCAAGUCAGUUGUGAAAUCCCUGGGCUCAACCUGGGAACUGCUUCUGAGACUGAACGACUAGAGUACGGUAGAGGGUGGUGGAAUUUCCGGUGUAGCGGUGAAAUGCGUAGAUAUCGGAAGGAACAUCAAUGGCGAAGGCAGCCACCUGGGCCUGUACUGACACUGAGACACGAAAGCGUGGGGAUCAAACAGGAUUAGAUACCCCCGUAGUCCCUGUCUCUUAUAC
rnacentral:rRNA from 1 species